GACAACCGGCCAGACAUAAAUAUCACCGGAUAAACGAAUAAAACUACCAACUAGACCAAUGGCUAAGCAUACAUGUCAUUAGUGUUUUGAGAUUUUUUAUUAUCCAAUUACAAAUGCCGAAUGCACAAUGAAAUGAACCGAAUGGUCAUCAAGCUAUAGAUGAGCGUUUGUUCAUUGUCUCUUUCUUCAUAAUUUAUUGGCACAUGUUCCGAUUAUAUUUUCGCAUUUCUUAUUUCUGGAUCUGUCUUAUUCACGUUCAUUUUUUCGUAUGUCGCCUGGAUAAUCCAACCCAAUAUUGGAAAAAUCGAUAACAAAGUUGUGAUCAUUUGUGGCCAAAGUUGACUAACCCCAACAUUCGGUUCGGCAACCUAUCGAUUGAGAAUGAGAUUGCUUUUGUUGGCCUAAUGCAUUGCUAUCUGGUGUGCUGUAAAGCUUCUGUGAACCAACCGAUCAUGACGAUCAGAAAAUUUAUGAGCUUCGACCGAAUGAAUUUUAAUCGAUUAUGACCCUCGAAGUAGCCCUUGAUGAGCAUACAGAGAUGGGACACACAGUCAAUCUAGCAGGAUUGUUGCUACAUUCGUGUGUGUAGGUUUAUGCAACAUAACAUUCCGAACAUCAUCAUCAUCCGAAUGCAUCAUACUGCAUUUGGUGUGAUGAUGAUGAUGGAAACGGCGAGCAUAAUAAUAAAUUUUUCAAAAGCUUUAGCUUCAGUACAUUCAGAGAGAAUCACCACAUCGACAUGUCCACAUGAUCAACAUAUAUGUGUUCACUUCAUUCAACGAAAAAAAGGAUUUUAUUCAACUUCACAUUGCUUUUAGCUUUUCCUAAAUAAACUUUAAAUUAGGCUCAAUUCAAAAUGAUUCGAACCUGAAGAUUAUAAUUA